GAUGAACGCUGGCGGCGUGCCUAAUACAUGCAAGUCGAGCGAACAGACGAGGAGCUUGCUCCUCUGACGUUAGCGGCGGACGGGUGAGUAACACGUGGAUAACCUACCUAUAAGACUGGGAUAACUUCGGGAAACCGGAGCUAAUACCGGAGAAUAUAUUGAACCGCAUGGUUCAAUAGUGAAAGACGGUUUUGCUGUCACUUAUAGAUGGAUCCGCGCCGCAUUGGCUAGUUGGUAAGGUAACGGCUUACCAAGGCAACGAUGCGUAGCCGACCUGAGAGGGUGAUCGGCCACACUGGAACUGAGACACGGUCCAGCCUCCUACGGGAGGCAGCAGUAGGGAAUCUUCCGCAAUGGGCGAAAGCCUGACGGAGCAACGCCGCGUGAGUGAUGAAGGUCUUCGGAUCGUAAAACUCUGUUAUUAGGGAAGAACAAAUGUGUAAGUAAAUAUGCACGUCUUGACGGUACCUAAUCAGAAAGCCACGGCUAACUACGUG
rnacentral:rRNA from 1 species